rnacentral:tRNA from 1 species
GGCCCAGUCACAGGGGCCUAAUGGAGAAGGCAUCAGCCUCCGGAGCUGGAGGUGGUGGGUUCGAGUCCCACCUGGGUCUA